rnacentral:sRNA from 1 species
UCUAAAUUCCAGCCAAUCAUGAUAAGCAC